GAGUUAGAUCCUGGCUAGGAGGAAGGCUGGCGGCGUGCUUAAAAAGUGCAAGUCGAACGGAAUGCCUAUGAUAGAGACUUCGGUCAGUGGAUUAGGUUACUUGGUGGCGGACUGGUGAGUAACGCGUGAGGAACCUGCCUUUCAGAGGGGGACAACAGUUGGAAACGACUGCUAAUACCGCAUGACACAUCGAUGGGGCAUCCCGUUGAUGUCAAAGAUUUAUCGCUGAAAGAUGGCCUCGCGUCUGAUUAGAUAGUUGGCGGGGUAACGGCCCAGCAAGUCGACUAUCAGAAGCCGGACUGAGAGGUUGACCGGCCACAUUGGGACUGAGAUACCGUCCACACUCCUACUGGAGGAAUCACUGGGGAAUAUUGGGCAAUGGACGCAAGUCUGACCCAGCAACGCCGCGGGAAGGAAGAAGGCUUUCGGGUUGUCAACUUCUUUUGUCAGGGAAAAGCAGAAGACGGUACCUGACCAAUAAGCCACGAAUAACUACGUGCCAGCAGCCGCGGUAAUACUUAGGUGGCAAGCGCUGUCCGGAUUUACUGGGUGUAAAGGGCGUGUAGCCGGGCCGACAAGUCAGAUGUGAAAUCCGCGGGCUUAACCCGCGAACUGCA
rnacentral:rRNA from 1 species